rnacentral:rRNA from 1 species
UACGUAGGGUGCAAGCGUUGUCCGGAAUUAUUGGGCGUAAAGAGCUCGUAGGCGGUCUGUCGCGUCUGCUGUGAAAACUCAGGGCUUAACCCUGAGCUUGCAGUGGGUACGGGCAGACUAGAGUGCGGUAGGGGAGACUGGAAUUCCUGGUGUAGCGGUGAAAUGCGCAGAUAUCAGGGAGGAACACCGGUGGCGAAGGCGGGGUCUCUGGGGCCGUAACUGACGCUUGAGG